GGCGAUGAUGAGGCCUCGAUUGGCUGAAUCGAUGAUUGAGAGGGACUUGGCUGAGC
rnacentral:snoRNA from 14 species